UGAGUCACGCGUGUCCAACCUGCCCCCCGCCCGGGGAUAGCCCUUGGAAAUGAGGAUUAAGACCCGAUAUGUGGCGCCUCCGCAUGGCGGCGCCAUGAAGCAGGCAGGGGAUGGGGACGCGUCGGAUUAGCUGGACGGCGGGGCAAUGGCCCACCGUGGCGACGAUCCGCAGGGGUUCUGAGAGGAAGGUCCCCCACACUGGCACUGAGACACGGGCCAGACUCCUACGGGAGGCAGCAGUGAGGAAUAUUGGUCAAUGGCCGCGAGGCUGAACCAGCCAAAGUAGCGUGCAGGACGACGGCCCUACGGGUUGUAAACUGCUUUUUCGGGAGGAUAAAGGACGUCACGUGUGGCGUUUUGCAGGUAUCCCGUGAAUAACGGACCGGCUAAUUCCGUGCCAGCCGCCGC
rnacentral:rRNA from 1 species